AUCACCCAGAAAAUGUACCUCUGUUGGUAUCACAUACAUGAUCAAACAUUUGACACGUUAUCCAGAUACUGACUGUUAGCAGUUGGUGGUCUGUAGCAGUUUGAGAGAGAGAAUAACAGUUCAUUUUUCUUUCAAAAGUUUCAUUUCUGAUGAACCAAAAGAACAAAGAUUUCCCUUCAGUGAACUCGAUGACAACAACCAACUCAAUGACUCAACAGACUCACUGGGGUCAGAGGGAGAGUUUGGGAGUACAGUUUGACACUUCAUGCUCAGAAAUCUCCCAGAGAUAUGGUCCAGCUACUACAAUAGAGAGAGGAAUAGGAGGAACAGAAGUGUUGGGCUAUAGAGGCAUCUCCAUUCCACUUCCAUCCUCAGCAUCUCAAUACUCAGGCAGCACCAUGUUCCCAUUGGUCCAUCCCCAGGACGAGAGGACUCCAUCGGCUCACCAUGCAGAGAGAUUCAUUUUCCCAUUGGCUCAUCAUUACACAGACGUGAGGACAGUCUUCUCAUUGGCUCAUCAGACUGAGAGGAUGGGACAUUCACUGAACUAUCAUUGGGAUGAUGGGUCAGAUUUCCAAUUUUCUCAUCACCAAACAGAUGAAAGGAUUCUAUUGGCUCAUCACAGGGAGAGGACUGGUGGUCCAUCGCUUAUAUGACAGAAUGUCUCUCCCCUUUUCUCGCAUCAGUGAAUGUCAGAGCCAAACAUUCUCACACACACACACACACACACACACACACACACACACACACACACACACACACACACACACACACACACACACACACACACACACACACACACACACACACACACACACACACACACACCCCUCUAUGGCUCUGUUGAUUACUACUGGGCAGGGUAUGCAAUAGAGUGGGUACAGAGACAUUCCAAUCGUGACCUAAUGUGUUUAAAAUGAAAUUUCUACAGGCUAUUGCAACAUAUCUCAGUGAAA